CCUACGGGAGGCAGCAGUGGGGAAUUUUGGACAAUGGGCGAAAGUCUGAUCCAGCAAUGCCGCGUGAGUGAAGAAGGCCUUCGGGUUGUAAAGCUCUUUUGUCAGGGAAGAAACGGUGUGGGCUAAUAUCCUGCACUAAUGACGGUACCUGAAGAAUAAGCACCGGCUAACUACGUGCCAGCAGCCGCGGUAAUACGUAGGGUGCAAGCGUUAAUCGGAAUUACUGGGCGUAAAGCGUGCGCAGGCGGUUUUGUAAGUCUGUCGUGAAAUCCCCGGGCUCAACCUGGGAAUUGCGAUGGAGACUGCAAGGCUAGAAUCUGGCAGAGGGGGGUAGAAUUCCACGUGUAGCAGUGAAAUGCGUAGAGAUGUGGAGGAACACCGAUGGCGAAGGCAGCCCCCUGGGUCAAGAUUGACGCUCAUGCACGAAAGCGUGGGGAGCAAACAGGAUUAGAUACCCUGGUAGUCCACGCCCUAAACGAUGUCUACUAGUUGUCGGGUUUUAAUUAACUUGGUAACGCAGCUAACGCGUGAAGUAGACCGCCUGGGGAGUACGGUCGCAAGNUUAAAACCGUCAAAGGAAUUGACCGGCUGAGACGNGCGACGACGACGACGAGGGAGGAGG
rnacentral:rRNA from 1 species